rnacentral:rRNA from 1 species
UCCGCAGGCGGGCAAUUAAGUCAGGGGUGGAAUGGUGCGGCUCAACCGUAGCACUGCCCUUGAUACUGGUUGUCUUGAGUCAUAGUGAAGUGGCCGGAAUAUGUAGUGUAGCGGUGAAAUGCAUAGAUAUUACAUAGAACACCGAUUGCGAAGGCAGGUCACUAACUAUCGACUGACGCUGAUGGACGAAAGCGUGGGGAGCGAACAGGAUUAGAUACCAUGGUAGUCC